CCCAGGUAAGUCAAACAUCAAAGACCUAACAAAGGACAAUUGUGCCUGAAAUCCUAUCAAAAUCAAGGUGGGAAUUUUCAGCCCAUUUGGUUUUUUCAAAGUCUCUGUCAAUCUCUGUCAACCCAGUAAGGCUUCAUCACCGGAACCCACAGGACUGGAGGGACCUUUAAAAAUGCUGUGAUUGCCCUGAACUUGUAUCCUAGGCUUUGGGAGGAAGGAAAGUAUCACCUUCUGCUCCCUCCUGCAGCAAGAGCUGGG